rnacentral:rRNA from 1 species
UACAGAGGGGGCAAGCGUUGUUCGGAAUUACUGGGCGUAAAGCGUGCGCAGGCGGUUUUGUAAGUCUGACGUGAAAUCCCCGGGCUCAACCUGGGAAUUGCGUUGGAGACUGCAAGGCUGGAGUCUGGCAGAGGGGGGUAGAAUUCCACGUGUAGCAGUGAAAUGCGUAGAGAUGUGGAGGAACACCGAUGGCGAAGGCAGCCCCCUGGGUCAAAACUGACGCUCAUGCACGAAAGCGUGGGGAGCAAACAGG